AGCGAACGCUGGCGGCAGGCCUAACACAUGCAAGUCGGACGAACCCUUCGGGGUUAGUGGCGGACGGGUGAGUAACACGUGGGAACGUGCCUUUAGGUUCGGAAUAACUCAGGGAAACUUGUGCUAAUACCGAAUGUGCCCUUCGGGGGAAAGAUUUAUCGCCUUUAGAGCGGCCCGCGUCUGAUUAGCUAGUUGGUGAGGUAAAGGCUGACCAAGGCUACGAUCAGUAGCUGGUCUGAGAGGAUGACCAGCCACAUUGGGACUGAAGACACGGCCCAAACUCCUACGGGAGGCAGCAGUGGGGAAUCUUGCGCAAUGGGCGAAAGCCUGACGCAGCCAUGCCGCGUGGAUGAUGAAGGUCUUAGGAUUGUAAAAUCCUUUCACCGGUGAAGAUAAUGACUGUAGCCGGAGAAGAAGCCCCGGCUAACUUCGUGCCAGCCGCCGCGGUAACAC
rnacentral:rRNA from 1 species